UACGUAGGGUGCGAGCGUUAAUCGGAAUUACUGGGCGUAUAGCGUGCGCAGGCGGUUUUGUAAGCCAGAUGUGAAAUCCCCGGGCUCAACCUGGGAAUGGCAUUUGGGACUGCAAGGCUGGAGUGCGGCAGAGGAGACUGGAAUUCCUGGUGUAGCAGUGAAAUGCGUAGAUAUCAGGAGGAACACCGAUGGCGAAGGCAGGUCUCUGGGCUGACACUGACGCUCAUGCACGAAAGCGUGGGGAGCAAACAGG
rnacentral:rRNA from 1 species